UACGUAGGGUGCGAGCGUUGCCCGGAAUUAUUGGGCGUAAAGAGCUCGUAGGCGGUGUGUCACGUCGGCCGUGAAAACCUGCAGCUUAACUGUGGGCGUGCGGUCGAUACGGGGCAUCACUGGAGUUCGGCAGGGGAGACUGGAAUUCCUGGUGUAGCGGUGAAAUGCGCAGAUAUCAGGAGGAACACCGGUGGCGAAGGCGGGUCUCUGGGCCGAUACUGACGCUGGAGGAGCGAAAAGCGUGGGGGAGCAAACAGG
rnacentral:rRNA from 1 species